UACGAAGGGGGCUAGCGUUGCUCGGAAUCACUGGGCGUAAAGCGCACGUAGGCGGCUUUCUAAGUCAGGGGUGAAAUCCUGGAGCUCAACUCCAGAACUGCCUUUGAUACUGGAGAGCUUGAGUCCGGGAGAGGUGAGUGGAACUCCGAGUGUAGAGGUGAAAUUCGUAGAUAUUCGCAAGAACACCAGUGGCGAAGGCGGCUCACUGGCCCGGUACUGACGCUGAGGCACGAAAGCGUGGGGAGCAAACAGG
rnacentral:rRNA from 1 species